rnacentral:rRNA from 1 species
AAAAGUAAGUAAGGGCAGACGGUGGAUGCCUAGGCUCUCGGAGGCGAAGAAGGACGUGAUAAGCUGCGAAAAGCUGCGGGAAUCGGCACAUACGAAUUGAUCCGCAGAUAUCCGAAUGGGGCAACCCGUCAGGCCAAGGCCUGACACAUGAAUUGAUUUCAUGAGCGAACGCGGGGAACUGAAACAUCUCAUUACCCGUAGGAGAAGAAAACAAAAGUGAUUCCCUCAGUAGUGGCGAGCGAACGGGGAUUAGCCCAAACCGGCUUUGUUUCGGCAAAGUCGGGGUAAUAGGACUUCGACAAAAGUUUAAUGAUAGAUAUAGGAGAACCUACUGGAAAGUAUGGCCGAAGAGCAUGAAAGCUGCGUAUCCGACAUAUCGAACAAUAGACGACGGAGCACCUGAGUAGCGCGGGACACGAGACAUCCUGUGUGAAUUGGCGGGGCCCAUCCCGUAAGGCUAAAUACUCCCGAGAGACCGAUAGUGAACCAGUACCGUGAGGGAAAGGUGAAAAGAACCUCGAACAGAGGAGUGCAAUAGACCCUGAACCCGUCUGCCUACAAGCGGUAGGAGCGCCAUUAAGGUGUGACUGCGUGCCUUUUGCAUAAUGAACCUACGAGUUACUGUUUGUGGCAAGGUUAAUUGUUAUAAUCAAGACAAGGAGCCGAAGCGAAAGCGAGUCUUAAAAGGGCGCCCAUUUAGUCACGAGCAGUAGACGCGAAACCAAGUGAUCUACCCUUGGUCAGGUUGAAGGUUAGGUAACACUAACUGGAGGACCGAAUCGGUAAGCGUUGAAAAGCUUUCGAAUGAACUGAGGGUAGGGGUGAAAGGCUAAUCAAACUUGGAGAUAGCUCGUACUCCCCGAAAUGCAUUUAGGUGCAGCCUGUCGGAUGUUAUCAUGAGGUAGAGCGACUGAUUGGAUGCGAGGGUUUCACCGCCUAUCAAGUCCAGAUAAACUCCGAAUGCAUGAUAAUUGACCGAUGGAGUGAGGGCAUGGGUGCUAAGGUCCAUGUCCGAGAGGAGAAGAAUCCGGACCACCGGCUAAGGUCCCGAAAUAAUUGCUAAGUUGUAAAAACGAAGUCAAGAUGCAGAGACAGCUAGGAUGUUGGCUUGGAAGCAGCCAUUCAUUUAAAGAGUGCGUAACAGCUCACUAGUCGAGCGGUUCGGCAUGGAUAAUAAUCGGGCAUAAGCAUAUUACCGAAGCUAUGGAUUUGUACGUAAGUACAACUGGUAGGAGAGCAUUCUAUCGGCAUAGAAGCUGAGUCGUGAGGCUUGGUGGAGCUUAUAGAAAAGAAAAUGUAGGCAUAAGUAACGAUAAAGCGGGCGAGAAACCCGCUCACCGAAAGACUAAGGUUUCCUCAGCCAUGCUAAUCAGCUGAGGGUUAGUCGGGGCCUAACGCGAACCCGAGAGGGGUAGUGGAUGGACAUAGGGUUAAUAUUCCCUAACUUGCUCACGAGGAAAGUGACGGUUCAAUGAGACUUAAGAAGACUGACGGAAUAGUUAAGACCUAGCCUACGGGCGAAGUUGAUUAAGAGCAGUUGGAUCCAAGAAAAGCGAGUGAAGCAACCCGUACCAUAAACCGACACAGGUAGUCGAGGAGAGAAUCCUAAGGUGCUCGAGUGAGUCGUGGCUAAGGAACUAGGCAAAAUAGUCUCGUAACUUCGGGAGAAGAGACGCCAACAGCGAUGUUGGCCGCAGUGAAGAGGCCCAGGCGACUGUUUAACAAAAACACAGGACUCUGCUAAAUCGAAAGAUGCUGUAUAGGGUCUGACACCUGCCCGGUGCUGGAAGGUUAAGGAAGGUGCUUAGCGUAAGCGAAGGCAUUGACUGAAGCCCCAGUAAACGGCGGCCGUAACUAUAACGGUCCUAAGGUAGCGAAAUUCCUUGUCGGGUAAGUUCCGACC